rnacentral:rRNA from 1 species
CCUACGGGAGGCAGCAGUGAGGAAUAUUGGUCAAUGGGCUUACGCCUGAACCAGCCAAGUCGCGUGAGGGAAGACUGCCCUAUGGGUUGUAAACCUCUUUUGUCAGGGAGCAACGCCGGCUACGUGUAGCCGGACUGAGAGUACCUGCAGAAAAAGCAUCGGCUAACUCCGUGCCAGCAGCCGCGGUAAUACGGAGGAUGCGAGCGUUAUCCGGAUUUAUUGGGUUUAAAGGGUGCGUAGGCGGAAUGCCAAGUCAGCGGUAAAAUCGCGGGGCUAAACCUCGCUUCGCCGUUGAAACUGGCGGGCGUGAGUGGGCGAGAAGUAGGCGGAAUGUGUGGUGUAGCGGUGAAAUGCAUAGAUAUCACGCAGAACACCGAUUGCGAAGGCAGCAUACCGGCGCCCAACUGACGCUGAAGCACGAAAGCGUGGGGAUCGAACAGGAUUAGAUACCCUGGUAGUC